AUCUUCAUCAACCACAACAGGUUCGUUUUCGAUAUUCCAGAUAAUUUUGGCAACUCCCCAGUUUCUGUUAUUGUUUUAGCCAACAAUAAGUUCCAUGGCUGUGUGCCUUCAAGCUUGGGUAACAUGACAAAUCUCAAUGAAAUCAUCCUCAUGAAUAAUAAUCUAAAGUCCUGUUUGCCACCGGAGAUUGGUAUGCUCAAGGACUUGAAUGUUUUUGAUGUAAGCUUUAACCAGUUAAUGGGUUCAUUGCCGGACACAUUUGGAGGUAUUGUUGGACUUGAGCAGCUCAAUGUGGCUCAUAACAU
rnacentral:misc_RNA from 1 species